UUUCGGUUACGGGCCCAACGCUUUAACCACUAGGCUACCUGCUGCCCCUAUGCAAUUUCAAGUAGGGCCGUAAAUGUUAUACAGUAGCGUCAUUUAAAUCUUAACUAAUUUAAAUAUGUAACACCUUAAAACCGCCAUCACAUGUUCGCAUCAUACGUCUUUGUUUACAAACCAUAAAAAGCUCAAGUAGAACGUGGCAGAACGAUACUGACAACUCAACUUUUCAUCUGUGUUGUAACUUAUAGCUAGCAAGCUACUUACCAUCAUGCCAGAAAAAACACACUGUGUUGUGACUGGAUGCCGUAGUGAUAAUUUAACAUUACACUAUUUCCUGAAGAAUGAGGACAUCCGUAAGCAGUGGCUGAUUUUCAUUUCGGGUGGACAGGAUCAUAACACCCGUGUGCAGUGCACAUUUAGAGCGAAGUUUGCUUUAUAAAUUGGGGAGAACAUUUGAUGUGUCUUGCCAGGAAGCUAAUCAUGAAGAUGGAUGCUGAACCAUCAUUGACAGUAGAUCAGUUUAUUUUGCAAGCACUGACCAUAAUACAGGCUCCUGGAUCUCCUCUUCAACAAGGUCACCCUUGAUCCAGUGCCGUAUGUGGGGAAGAUGUGCGAGCUGUCCAUCCCAGAACCCGUCUGCCCAGUGUGAGAGGCCUGACAAGGAGGAGGCCAUACCUGGAUUUGUCUCCAGCUUCAAUCUUUGGGUUGACUGAAGACAAGUGGGUGACUGAAGUCUGCUUGAUUGAAGCGGGGUACAUGGUCCCCCUCCUCUCCCGAUCCCGUCCCAUCAAUCUCUGUAGUUGGUUGCAUUUCCCAAAGUCUAAGUUAUUUAUAUGAUAUCACAUUUUCUUUUAUAUCAUUUUUUCUAACAUUUGGACGGGAGAUGAGAGUUACAAAUUGUAAGACUCAAUGGGGUCCUGCACACUGUAGGGCAGCAGGGUGCCUAUAUUGCGGCUUAUGGCUCUAUUUUAAUUUUUUUAUGACAAAUGAUGUCUCACCAUUAUUUCUCAUGAAUGUCCAUGUUGAUCAAUAUUUCAGAUAUGCUUGCCUAAUGUAAAUUAACAAAUAAAUGUUUGAUCAAUACAUACAAUUCUGAACAUAUUGUCAUUUAUAAUGCUAAUGCAGAGGCACCAAUCAAUUGUCCAGUACACUUAUUGUAUGCUGUUUUCAUGUACAUUCCCGUAUGUCUACGCUUCUAGGGGGACUCAGACUUGACUAAUUCUGCUGAAGAAGUGUAUCAGUGAA
ensembl:lncRNA